rnacentral:lncRNA from 1 species
GAAUAAUGUACUUUAUAUGUUCUAGGCUCAGGGAAUUAUGCUGAAGACUGAUACACAUCACAGAGAAGAGUAGAUAUACUGCUUUGAUUGAGGCCAUUGGGCAAAUUAAUUGAAUAAAUUUAUCAAAGAUGUAUCAGGAUCUUGAUUAUAGCGUAUCCUGCUCACCCAAUUGUGUGCUCACUGAAACCCAUUUUAAACUUGUCUGUGGCUUCUCAGCAUAGUUAGAUAAGCAACUUCAACUUAUCUGUGGACUGCUGAAGACAUUGCUGUAGGAAAGAUGUGUGCAAGAAAUACAAUGGCUUUGCUGCCAUUAAAAACUUUAUGACAAGGAAAAACGGGAUAUUGUUACCUGAACAUCACCCACCUGACAUUGAUAUUUACCUCUGGAGCCCUUAAAAAAGAUGCUGAACAAGAAGUAAUUUAUAACUAAGGAUGAGGAUGAGGAUGAAGAUGAGGAAGAGGACACGAACCAGAGCUGACGCCAGCCUUAACAACUCCUUUUUCAUCCUGUUCCCCUGUGUCUUGUGGAUUCUGUUUCUGUUUGUUUCUUCAAAUAAAAUGUGCCUUCCACAGUGUUUUGUGUUUGUUUUCCGCUUCUCCAUUAUGGAUUGUGUGGCGAG